AUGCUCUCCGGCGUGUUUCUCAUAGCAGCGCUGCUGCUGCUCUUCUGCCCCACACCGACAGCCGGCGAUGGUGGGUUUUCAAUGUCCUCUCUCGGCUUCAACAGCUCCCAACUGAUGGUUUUCACCAGAAAUAUGCAAAGGUCAGCCCAUGAGCUGUUCCUCGACAAAAGUCUCUCUGCGUUGAACAACUCAAUGGGGCUCAUCGUCUUACCGGUGAUGUUCUCCUUCUCCCUAGAAUCCACUUCCGUCUACGCAAACUUCACCAUGCAAGGCUCUUCCCCUGCCUCCUUCACCGUAGUAUUCGCCAUGCUUCCGGCAGAUGUCCUUAGGAACGUCGGCACGAGGUACAUCAUCAACGGCGUUGACCAAACUAACAACAAUGAGAAGACGAUCGGCAGCAACGAGUUUGCUGCCGUCGAGAUUGGCACGCUGAGGUCGAGCUUGAGCUUCCCAGGCCAGCCGGGUGUUGGCCUCAAUGUCACCGUCACGCCCAUCAAGAUCCAGAGCCUCGCCGUGAGGGUCGACUACUUCUACUCCAAAUCCAGGGCGGCGGUGUACGUUGGCCCCGUCGGCUCCGAACAAGGGCCCGACUUGGUUGCCAGUGGGCCGGUCAAUAUAAAGAAGAUGGAAGAAGUCGAUUUCGCCUUCAUCGGCUUCUUCAGCGACCGUGUGAGCAACAUCUUGAGCAAUAUCAAACCUUGGGGGCUGAGUGUGCAAAGUGUUCGUCCGAAGCACAAAGGGCCGUCAUGGCUGGUCAUACUGCUCUCGGUUGUCGGAUCAGCGGCUGCCACGGCCAUUACUGCUGCUGCUUUCGCGGUCUACUACAGGUCCAAGUACAGGAGGUGGAACAAGGACCUGCAGCGGCUGGCCAGGUCCAUGCAGCACCUCCCGGGGAUGCCAAGGCACGUCGACUUCGCCGACAUCAAGAAGGCCACCAAAAACUUCCAUAGCAGCAUGCAGCUGGGAGCAGGCGGAUUCGGGGCCGUCUACAGAUGCAAGCUUCCGGCGGCGCCCGAAGUUGGGGGGCCGGAGGUGGAGGCGGCCGUCAAGAAGUUCACCCGCAACCACAACGGGUGCUACGAUGACUUCAUGGAGGAGGUCAGCGUCGUCAACCGUUUGCGCCACCGGAACAUCGCUCCUCUUGUCGGCUGGUCUUACCACUCAGGCGUGCCCCUCCUCAUAUUCGAGCUCAUGCCAAACGGCAGCUUGGACCAACAUCUGUUCCAUCCAACAAGGGCACGCUUCCUCCAGUGGGAGACGAGAUAUGACAUCGUCAAGGACAUAGCCACCGGCCUGCACUACGUCCACCACGAGUACGAGCCAGCGGUGCUCCACCGCGACAUCAAGGCGAGCAAUGUCCUGCUCGACUCCGCGUUCCGCGCCCGCCUGGGCGACUUCGGCAUUGCCCGCGCGGUGGGCCUCGACCGGAACUCGGUCACCGGCUUCGCCGGGACACGGGGUUACAUAGCGCCGGACUACGCGUGCAGCUACAAGGCCACGAGGGAGACGGACGUCUACGCGUUCGGGGUGGUCGUCCUCGAGAUCGUCACCGGCAAGCCGGCGCUCCAUAGGGACGUCCCGUCUGACAACAUCAUGUCCGACUGGGUCUGGCAGCUUCACCGGGAGGGGGAACUGAUCAACGCCGUGGACGGUGUGCUCGCGGCUGCCGGGUUCGACGCCGACGACGCCAGGCGGCUGCUGCUGCUUGGCUUGGCGUGCACCAACCCAAACCCGGCCGACCGGCCGAGCAUGGCGACAGUGGUGAGGGUGGUCACCAAGCUGGCGCCGUCGCCGGACGUCCCUCUGGAGAGGCCGACGUUCGUCUGGCCGCCUCAGGGGCUGUGCACAUCAACGCCGGGAUCAACCUGUGGAACAGGAACAAGUAUUUUUCGUACGGUGGGCUCAUCCGCCAUGGUGGAGCUCGAGCAGCUGAGUGAAGAGCUGCCUAUUGUUGUAUUCCAGGCAUCAGCUGGCACAACAAGUGGGCAGGCAAGGACAUCGAUCGAAACAGCACCAGCUCAGCCAUCUCGUGGCACCACCAGGUCUUCCUGA
rnacentral:rRNA from 1 species